UACGGAGGAUGCAAGCGUUAUCCGGAUUUAUUGGGUUUAAAGGGUUCGUAGGCGGAAAAAUAAGUCAGUGGUGAAAGCCUGCAGCUUAACUGUAGAAUUGCCAUUGAUACUGUUUUUCUUGAAUAUAUAUGAAGUGGGCGGAAUGCGUCAUGUAGCGGUGAAAUGCACAGAUAUGACGCAGAACACCGAUAGCGAAGGCAGCUCACUAAUAUAUUAUUGACGCUCAGGAACGAAAGCAUGGGGAGCGAAC
rnacentral:rRNA from 1 species